UUUCCGCCCCAAAGCCGUCGCGCUUCCGCGGUGGGUGUCAGGUGUCGGCUAGGGAAGGUGCGAGAGGCUCCGGGCGGCUGGCUGUUCCUCGAGCGGGGACGCUCCUGUCGCCGGUGAGCACCACGCGGCACCUCACAAUGCGCCGCCGCCCGAGGUUGCGGCGGCCGCACUUCCCCUUGCGCGGCGUCCGUGGCGGCGCUCGGCGGGGACCGAGGCGCCCGUGCGUGCGGGGUGUGCCGCCCGACGCGGGGCUUAGGACGCGGCCGCUCGGGUCGGUGCCUUCGGUGGCCACAAGUUACUCGGCCUCUUGCUGCUGUUCUGCGAAGUGAGAGUAAGACCUGCUCCCUGGGGUCGUGUCGACUGCUCUUUGGAUGGAGAAACGGAGGCACAGAGCCACAAACUUACAAGGAGAAGGAGCAAGACUUGGUCGCCAGCAACACAGCUUGGGAAACCCUUGUCUCCUGAGGCCAUUCCUGUUUCUAUGACUACACUACCUUAUCAGGAGCUGUUCUUGCAAAAUACUAAGAAAAGGACACACCGCCCAAACACAAGCAGAGAAAACGUGCAACCUAAGAAACAUAGGAAGAGCUGUUACAUGCCUGACCGGAGAGAUGAACAUUAAAGCAGUGGGUUGGGGUUUUGUUUAUCAGGUUGAUAUUUUGUGAGCAAAACUGAGAAAGCAGGGUUAGAGGAAGUGAAGGGAAAGCCACUGGUAGACAAGCUGUGAGCUGCUUCACCCUUGCUAGAAGGUAGUUUCGAAAUAUGUAUCAAAAAUUAAACCACCUGGGGCGCCUGGGUGGCUCAGUCAGUUGAGCGACUGCCUUCGGCUCAGGUCAUGAUCCUAGAGUCCCGGGAUCGAGUCCCGCAUCGGGCUCCCUGCUCAGCAGGGAGUCUGCUUCUCCCUCUGACCCUCCUCCCUCUUGUGCUCUCUCUCAUUCUCUCUCGCAAAUAAAUAAAAUCUUUAAAAAAAAAAAAUUAAACCACCUGUAGUCUGAUCUAACAAAAUUCAGGAAUUCGUGCUAAGGAGAUAACCAGGCACCCAAAGAUGUGUGCAUAAGGACACCCUUCCUUUGUCUCCCCCUUCCUUCCACAAAUACUUGUUGACUGUCUAUUACAUGCCAAGCGCUGCUCUUGGCAUUGGAAGUAUGGUAGUGAACUACAUAGACAAAAAUCCUUGUCCUCCUGUGAUUUAAAUUCUGCACAGAGAAAAGACAAUAAACAAGAUAAAUAUAUAAAAUAAAUAGUCCAUGAGAAUAAGUGCAAAAAGAGGGAAAUUGAGAAAUAUAAAAGGGGAUAGGACAGGUGGUGGGGAGCAGCAGGGGUUGACAUUUUUUUUUUAAUUUUUUUUAAAGAUUUUAUAUAUUUAUUUGAGAAAGAAUGAGAGAGAACACAGAGGGAGAGAGCACAAAGCGAGAGGGAGAAGCAGACUCGCCACCGAGCAGGGAGCCCAACGCUGGACUCGAUCCCAGGACUCCGAGAUCAUGACCCGAGCCAAAGGCGGACGCCUAACCAACUGAGCCACCCAGGCGCCCCAUGGGGUUGACAUUUUAAAUAUGGUGUGCAGGAAAGGCUUCCUUGGAAAGAUGACUUUUUAGGAAAGACUCAAAGCAGACGAGGAAGUUAGUUGCGCAGAUGGUGGGUUGUUGAAAUGCAUCAAGCCAGAACCUUGAGGGCCCCCAUCAUGAGUUUGGACUUUGGUCUCACAGUGAUGCAAGCCUGUGAAGCGUUUCAACAGGGAAUUGCUCUCAUGGAUCCGGAUGUUAGGAGGACGGCCAGCGGCAGCAUGGGAACAAGCUGGAAAGGGACAGGUGCACCGUGGGGAGACCAGUGAGGAGGCACCGUAACUCUGGCGAGAAACUCCGACCCUGACCAGAAGUGAGGAGCUGUGGGUGGAUCUGAGUAUGAUUUUCGGAAGCAGAAUAGUAGGCUCCACGUCCGAUAUGGGGAUCAAACUCAUGACCCUGAGAUGAAGAGUGGCGACUCAGCCAGGAGCCCCAAGCAGGGGCCGACUGGAGUGGAAUUCUCAGGACAUGGAGGUGCCCCACUGCGCGAUUGUGAAAUUGGUUUCGCUGGAAUCGUGUGACAAUCGCCUCCUACAUACCACAGGGAUAUUCAAAUUGGAUGACGCCCCGCACAGAUCUGCUACUCGCAAAAUCAUCUGGCGCACGAUCCUGGAAAAGGCUGGUGUCCAAAUAGGGAAUACGCUCACCCACAGUCAUUGUGCAAGUUGUCAGGAUGUGUGUAUCUACAAAGAUGGUUGAGAGCCUCGAGGUUUUUCUUACUCUAUUUUAGGAGAAGAAUCCAUUUCUGUGUUAACACCAGAACUGCUUAAGAAUCAACACUUUUCUAGGUGUCAGGUGAUAUCUUACUUGAAGGAAACACAUUUUGUAGAAAUUAAGACUUUCAGGAAUCAUUUAAGGAAAUAUACCAUAGUAGCUACCAUUUCCAAUAAAAUGAUAAAAAGCAGUUAGCUGAGGGGAGGUUGGGAUGAAUAGGCAGAGCACAGAGGAUUUUUAGGGCAGUAAAACUACUCCGUGAGGUACUAUAAUGGUAAGUACAUGUCAUUAUACAUUUGUCCAAACCCAUAGGAUGUGUAACACCAAGAACAACCCUAAAGUAAACAGUGGGCUUUGGGUGAUAAUGAAGUGUCAGUAUAAGUUCAACAGUUGUAACUAACGUAACCAUUCUGGAGGGGGUGUUGAUAAUGCAGGAGCUUAUGCAUGCAAAGGGUAGGGGAUGAGUAGAAAAUCUCUGUACCUACCUCCCAGUUUUGCUAUGAACCUAAAACUGCUCUAAGAAAAUAGUCUCUCUUUUUUUUUGAGAGAGAGAGAGAGAGGAAGUGUAUGCGUGCAUGCAAGGGGGGAGGGCCAGAAGGGGAGAGAGAGAGAGAGAGAGAAUCUUUUUUUUUUUUUUUAAGAUUUUAUUUAUUUGAGAGAGAGAAUGAGAGAGAGAGAGCACAUGAGAGGGGGGAGGGUCAGAGGGAGAAGCAGACUCCCUGCUGAGCAGGGAGCCCGAUGCGGGACUCGAUCCCGGGACUCCAGGAUCAUGACCUGAGCCGAAGGCAGUCGCUUAACCAACUGAGCCACCCAGGCACCCAAGAGAGAGAAUCUUAAGCAGGCUCCAUACCCAAUGUGGAACCCAGUGAGGGGCUUGAUCUCAUGACCCCAAGAUCAUGACCUGAGCCAAAAUCAAGAGUCGGAAGCUUAACCAACUGAGCCAUGAAGGCACCCAAUAGUCUCUUUCUUUUAAAGCAGUUAAUAAAUAGUCUGAUAAUACUCUGAGAAACACACAUCAAGAAUAAAAAAAUCUAAAAAAAAAUUGGGGUGCCCGGGUGGUUCAGUCAGUUAAGCAUCCGACUUUUGAUCUCAGCUCAGGUCUUGAUCUCAGGGUGGUGAGUCCAGACCCCACGUUGGACUCCAUGCUGGCCAUGAAGCCUACUUAAAAAACAAAAAACAAAAACAGAAAAAAACCCUAAAAAUGUUCCAGUCAACAUACAAGAUACAUUUUUUAGCAACAGCUGGAGACAGACUAAAUUUCAAGGGCACCCCAUGAAAGAUGCUUCCAUCUCACAGAGGAACGUCCUGUGGGAUGCUCUGUUUUCAUAACUAGGGCCAAAAACAAAAUCCAAUUAAAAUAACAAAUCUCUUUGCAGGAUGCCACGUAAAAUUAGUGGCUUCCUUGUUACAAGACUAAGAAAAGCAUUUUUAGGAUGUAAAAAUUCCCAGUGAAGUAGUAGAAAUAUUACCAGUUUCGCUAUGGCUUCGGAAAUAACAUCCUUCAAUUUAAUGUGAUGCAACUUGUAAUACUUAGACAAGGCUUCGGCAAUACUGGAUUUUCCCACAGCAGGAGGACCCAGAAUGCAGAUCUUGAUCGGCUGCAAAAGGAGAACAAGGACCAUCCAGUGAGUGGUGAACAAGCUGUAGCUCGACAGAGUGUUUUUCAUGUCAGGGGGUGCCUUUCCUGAACAUCUCGGGGUCCUGCAGGCUAACUCUCCUCUGUCAAGUCUCUAGAGUCACUUCCUCCAUGGCCGGCCUCUGUGGUCAGUGCCACAUCGUCCUCGCAGCACUGCUCCCCAAUCAGGGAGUGGCCCUUCCUGUUCAUUCGUUCAGCAGGGACUUAUUGAGCAUCUACUAUGUGCACCGACCAACCAUGGGGGACACAACGCUCAAUGAGAUGUGCUCUGGACAUACUAGAAGUACUAAAAGAACAAAGUACUAAAAGUACUAAAAACAAAGUACUAAAAAGUACUAAAGAACAAAGUACUUGAGCAUUACACACUACCAUGUUACUCUUUAUAAAAAAUUUUUUAUUUAAAAAUCAAUUUUCAAUUUAAUUAACAUAUAGUGUACUGAAGUACUGAAGUACUAGAGUACUCAAGCAUUACACAAAAGUAUUAAAAGUACUAAAGAACAAAGUACUUGAGCAUUACACACUACUAUAUUACUUCUUUUUAAAAAUUUUUACUUAAAAUUCAAUUUAGUUAACAUAUACUGUAUUAUUAGCUUCAGAGGUAGAGUUCAGUGAUUCAUCAGUUGCAUAGAACACCAGUACUCAUUUCAUCCCAUGUCCUCCUAAUGCCCAUCACCCAGGUACCCCAUCCCCCGACCUACCUCCCCUCCAGCAACCCUCAGUUUGUUUUCUAGAGUUAAGAGCCUCUUAUGGUUUUUCUCCCCUUCUGAUUUCAUCUUAUUUUAUUUUUCCUUCCCUUCCCCAACGUUCAUCUGUUUUGUUUCUUAAAUUCCACAUAUGAGUCAUAUUACUCUUACAAAGACAACAAAGACAGAAUUUCUGGUCCAGUGUGCGGGGGCUUAGAUUAUUGCCUCAUGAAUAUUGUUUCUGGACUGACUGGGUUUUUAAUCAUACUUUACUUUUUAGCACAGUUAAUUUAUUCUAGUUUUUAAAAAUAUACUCAUCAAAAAAAAAAAAAAAAAAAAGCCCCACCAUUUCUUCUGCCAAAACUUGCUUGAAUGCUCCAGAAACUGACAUUUGUAACCAGGGAGUAAAUGUUUAUUUCCAACAGAAUUCAAAAUAUCAGUAGCAGUCAUUUCUUGCAAAAUGAUCCAAACAGUUGUGGAACUGAAGCCUCGUAUUUUGUAAGGCAUAUUAAUAACCAAAAUCAGGCUGAUGGGAAGAAUUUCCAUUGGCAGAGUGUCCAUGUGCUUAAAGGUCAUAUAAUUUCAGCCACCAAGUUGGUUGUGGUUAUUAUUACUACCAUUUGACAGACGAGGAGACCACGGCUGUGAAGGAAAUAAACAGGGACAUUGCAGGGGGGCUGGGUGAGGACGGUGAACAUGACUGGUCUUAUCUGGUGAGGGAUCCUUUCGGGACAAUGGUGAUGACCAAGAUGGCGUGCGGUGGAAGGGUGUCGGAAAAAGCAGCUCAAGCAGAGUCUUGAUGGGCAGGGCUGUGCUCCUGGGUGGGCCUGGUGCAUUCACCAUGGCCUGAGGUCCAGCUCUCAACUGAGCAUGUUCACGAGCACCAUUUUGUCCACACACCGAUGGCAGAUCUGUCUCUUGGGGUAGGCACACCUCAGCCAGGUGAGAAACCAGAACGGCAGUUUAUUCACUUAAUACUGAGAAGUCUGACUACCCCUGAACUCCGAACUCCAAGUGCACUUGUCUGGUACAUUUGUUCCCUCAGAGUAGGCAGGCAUGGAGGGUUGUUGAUGAGCAUCAUUUGGAACAUGAAGAGUUAGAGGAAUGGGCUAUUUAGUGGCAUCCGGUCACGGUAGCUUGAUGCAUCUGUCUGCAGCAGGGACCACCUUGCCUUGCUAAGGGGACCGGAAUCAUGGAAGCCCUUGGCUUAAGACUCCAUGUUUUGGGAUGUCACUGGUAUGGCACAGUCUGCCUUAUCCUGGGUAGUUUCUGUCCUAUGCAUCUACGCUGACCAACGUCCCCAGGGAUGGAUAGACUCUUCAGUUUUUAGAGAUGCUUGGGGCGCCUGGGUGGCUCAUCAGUUAACCGUCUGCCUUCGAUUCAGGUCAUGAUCCCAGGGUCCUGCUCAGUGGGGAGUCUGCUUCUCCCUCUCCCUCUGCCCCCUCCCCCUGCUUGUGCUCUCUCUCUCUCUCUGUCUCAAAUAAAUAAAUAAAAUCUUUAAAAAAAAUUUUUUUUAGAGAUGCUUAUUCCCUCUAUCAUGUUCUGUCCAGUGUUGCUAAUCGGGAACCAUGUUAUUUCUUUAAGGUGUCAUGUCCUUGUACCCUAACUGUGUUGUUUUCCAUUUGGACCCACAGAGGACAACACUAGUCUCACCACUUGAGUUGGGUCUUGUGUGUCUCAGGAUAGGCUCCAAGUACUUAAGAUGGGUAUUUCGGAUGCUAAAGACAUCACUGUUUCCUUUGCUGAGAGGCACAUCUCGUACUUACUCUUUUUUUUUUUUUUAAAGAUUAUUUAUUUAUUUAUUUAUUUAUUUAUUUAUUUAUUUAUUUAUUUAUUUAUUUGACAGAGACAC